UCACUGGGUCUCGCACCACAGGCUGGAGGAGCUUCCGGCAGAAUUGAGUGCUGGGGAAAGCCUGUGAUAAAUCAGCUCUGUCUUCACUAGCCAGGGGGUUGCUAUGGCAAUAGGAAUACACUGUGGGUUUUAAGAGAUGUAAUUUUCUGUGAUUCACUGUAUAUUUUUAGCCAUUUUUCUUCCUGUAUUGUCUCCCUGUGGCAAUUGCCUAUUAAUGCUGGCCUGCACCAAGAUUGGACUAAACGGUCCAUUCUCAGAAGUGAUGAAAGCCCUGGAGAUCAGACCUGAAAUGACACACUUCUUGGACCCGCCUUGACUCACCGCAUGGGCUACGCCGCAGGCUCAUGUCCCAGCACCCAAGAGCAGCAUUCUCCGAUUCCAGUCCAGGGCUCCAGAACCUACUUCAAAAUGGGACAGGAUCCCUCCAGCUCCCCCACCAUAACCAUGCACACA